CUCCCUCCCCCCCCACUCACUCACUCUCUCCUUACCUUACUCUCCCUGCUGACCAGCCCUCAGAUGACGGGUCCCCGGCACUAAGAGGAGCUUCUGCUGCAGUUUCGGUAGCUCACAGCACAGGAAAAUAUCGUCACCCUACCAAUAACGAGCUUUUGAAUGUGAAGAGAAGCUAUCCCUUUCCUCCAAACCGCAAGUUGAAGAAAAGCAGAAAACAAACUGUUGAUUCUCAUGUGGAUCUCAGAGGGCCAAUUCCUGACAUCUUUACUCAGGGUGGCUUCCCAUCUGUUUAUACUUCUAAAGAGAAAUGGUGAUUGAAUAUUCCUCCUGAUGAGUGCCAGAAUUGUUAAUUAGAACUAUCAGAGAACUCUGGUGUUUGCUCCGUC